AUCGCUGUGGUGUAGUGGUUUGAGUGUUGGACAAUGAAUCUGGAGAUCAGAGAUCAAUUCUCCUCUUGGCGAUG